GGCCUUUCGGGGUACACGAGCGGCGAACGGGUGAGUAACACGUGGGUGAUCUGCCCUGCACUCUGGGAUAAGCCUGGGAAACUGGGUCUAAUACCGGAUAUGACCUGCUCUCGCAUGGGGGUGGGUGGAAAGAUUUAUCGGUGCAGGAUGGGCCCGCGGCCUAUCAGCUUGUUGGUGGGGUAAUGGCCUACCAAGGCGACGACGGGUAGCCGACCUGAGAGGGUGACCGGCCACACUGGGACUGAGACACGGCCCAGACUCCUACGGGAGGCAGCAGUGGGGAAUAUUGCACAAUGGGCGAAAGCCUGAUGCAGCGACGCCGCGUGAGGGAUGAAGGCCUUCGGGUUGUAAACCUCUUUCAGCAGGGACGAAGCGCAAGUGACGGUACCUGCAGAAGAAGCACCGGCUAACUACGUGCCAGCAGCCGCGGUAAUACGUAGGGUGCGAGCGUUGUCCGGAAUUACUGGGCGUAAAGAGUUCGUAGGCGGUUUGUCGCGUCGUUUGUGAAAACCCGGGGCUCAACUUCGGGCUUGCAGGCGAUACGGGCAGACUUGAGUGUUUCAGGGGAGACUGGAAUUCCUGGUGUAGCGGUGAAAUGCGCAGAUAUCAGGAGGAACACCGGUGGCGAAGGCGGGUCUCUGGGAAACAACUGACGCUGAGGAACGAAAGCGUGGGUAGCAAACAGGAUUAGAUACCCUGGUAGUCUACGCCGUAAACAGCGGGCGCUAGGUGUGGGUUCCCUCCCCGGAAACCUGUGCC
rnacentral:rRNA from 1 species